CGCAUUCGCUGGGGGUGUUGGUGGCUGCAAAACCACCGACUGAGAAAGUCCCUUUGAACCUGAUUGAGGUAAUCCUCGCGCAGGGAAGCUUGUCAAAAGAACG
rnacentral:ncRNA from 2 species